rnacentral:rRNA from 1 species
UGGGGAAUAUUGCACAAUGGGCGCAAGACUGAUGCAGCCAUGCCGCGUGUGUGAAGAAGGCCUUCGGGUUGUAAAGCACUUUCAGCGGGGAGGAAGGCGUUAAGGUUAAUAACCUUGGCGAUUGACGUUACCCGCAGAAGAAGCACCGGCUAACUCCGUGCCAGCAGCCGCGGUAAUACGGAGGGUGCAAGCGUUAAUCGGAAUUACUGGGCGUAAAGCGCACGCAGGCGGUCUGUCAAGUCGGAUGUGAAAUCCCCGGGCUCAACCUGGGAACUGCAUUCGAAACUGGCAGGCUAGAGUCUUGUAGAGGGGGGUAGAAUUCCAGGUGUAGCGGUGAAAUGCGUAGAGAUCGGGAGGAAUACCGGUGGCGAAGGCGGCCCCCUGGACAAAGACUGACGCUCAGGUGCGAAAGCGUGGGGAGCAAACAGG